ensembl:lncRNA
CCCUGGUCCCUUCUUUUGGAUCACUUACUAUGAGAGAAGCCAGCUGACAUAGCGUGAGGACACCCCAGCAGCCAGCCAAGAGGAGAAGUGAGCAACUGAGGCCUCUUGCCAUAGCUACAAAGGCCCUGUCAGAACUGGACUACCCAGCUCCAGCAGCACUCAGAUGUCCACAGGCUCAGCUAACUUCUAGACUGGAGCCUCAGGACAUGCCCUGAGUCAGGACUACCCAGCUAAGCUGCUCCCAAAUUCUGGACUGCACUGGAAAUGACAGCAAACAUUUUGAACACACAGUGAAUGCAAAGGUGAAUCAGGGAUCAGUUUUUGGCCUUCAUUCUGAAUGGGUUCUGAGAUGGAGAGCCCUCUGAUUAGCUGAUGAUCUCAC